CGAGUGCUCCAAGCGUUAUCCGGAAUUAUUGGGCGUAAAGGGUGUGUAGGCGGUUGUGUUAGUCUUCUGUUAAAUUCUUCGGCUUAACCGGGGGCAUGCAGAGGAAACGGCACAACUUGAGGAUGCGAGAGGUGAAUGGAACUCAUGGAGUAGGGGUGAAAUCCGUUGAUAUCAUGGGGAACACCAAAUGCGAAGGCAAUUCACUGGCGCACUCCUGACGCUGAAACACGAAAGCGUAGGUAGCGGAUGGGAUUAGAUACCCCAGUAGUCUACGCCCUAAACGAUGACAACUAGUUUUUCGGAGUAUCGACCCUCUGAGAGACGAAGCUAACGCGUUAAGUUGUCCGCCUGGGUAGUACGGCCGCAAGGCUA
rnacentral:rRNA from 1 species